rnacentral:rRNA from 1 species
CAAUAGCGUAUAUUAAAGUUGUUGCAGUUAAAAAGCUCGUAGUUGAAUUUUUGCUUGCCGCCGAUGUCGGAACUUCCGUACGUUCGGCGGCGUGCAUCCUUGGGUGGAACCUGUGUGGCAUUAGGUUGUCGUGCAGGGGAUGCUCAUCGUUUACUGUGAAAAAGUUAGAGUGUUCAAAGCAGGCUUACGCCGUUGAAUAUAUUAGCAUGGAAUAAUAAGAUAGGACCUUGGUACUAUUUUGUUGGUUUGCGCACCGAGGUAAUGAUUAACAGGGACAGUUGGGGGUAUUCGUAUUCCAUUGUCAGAGGUGAAAUUCUUGGAUUUCUGGAAGACGAACUACUGCGAAAGCAUUUACCAAGGAUGUUUUCAUUAA